GCCUCCCUAGCUCAGUGGUUAGAGCACUGGUCUUGUACACCAGUGGUCGUGAGUUCAAUUCUCACUGAGGGCU
rnacentral:tRNA from 1 species